UACGUAGGGUGCAAGCGUUGUCCGGAAUUAUUGGGCGUAAAGAGCUCGUAGGCGGUUUGUCGCGUCUGCUGUGAAAACCCGAGGCUCAACCUCGGGCCUGCAGUGGGUACGGGCAGACUUGAGUGUCGGAGAGGGGAGUGGAAUUCUCGGUGUAGCGGUGAAAUGCGUUAGAGAUCGAGAGGAACACCCGUGGCGAAGGCGGCUCCCUGGCCGAACACUGACGCUGAGACGCGAAAGCGCGGGGAGCGAACGGG
rnacentral:rRNA from 1 species